rnacentral:rRNA from 1 species
AUUGAACGCUGGCGGCAGGCCUAACACAUGCAAGUCGAGCGGAUGAAGGGAGCUUGCUCCUGGAUUCAGCGGCGGACGGGUGAGUAAUGCCUAGGAAUCUGCCUGGUAGUGGGGGAUAACGUCCGGAAACGGGCGCUAAUACCGCAUACGUCCUGAGGGAGAAAGUGGGGGAUCUUCGGACCUCACGCUAUCAGAUGAGCCUAGGUCGGAUUAGCUAGUUGGUGGGGUAAAGGCCUACCAAGGCGACGAUCCGUAACUGGUCUGAGAGGAUGAUCAGUCACACUGGAACUGAGACACGGUCCAGACUCCUACGGGGGGCAGCAGUGGGGAAUACUGGACAAUGGGCGAAAGCCUGAUCCAGCCAUGCCGCGUGUGUGAAGAAGGUCUUCGGAUUGUAAAGCACUUUAAGUUGGGAGGAAGGGCAGUAAGUUAAUACCUUGCUGUUUUGACGUUACCAACAGAAUAAGCACCGGCUAACUUCGUGC